rnacentral:tRNA from 3 species
UCCCCGGUUGGUCUGUCGGCAGGGCCCGCCUGACUUUGAAUCAGGAUGAGCGACGCAGGUUCGACUCCUGCCCGGGGAGC